rnacentral:rRNA from 1 species
ACGGGAGGCAGCAGUGAGGAAUAUUGGUCAAUGGGCGGAAGCCUGAACCAGCCAAGUCGCGUGAAGGAUGAAGGUAUUAUGUAUUGUAAACUUCUUUAGACGUAGAGAAAUAAGGGGGUCGAGACCUCUGAUGCUAGUAUACGUAGAAUAAGGAUCGGCUAACUCCGUGCCAGCAGCCGCGGUAAUACGGAGGAUGCGAGCGUUAUCCGGAUUUAUUGGGUUUAAAGGGUGCGUAGGCGGGAUGUUAAGUCAGCGGUUAAAUAGUGUAGCUCAACUAUACUUUGCCGUUGAAACUGGCGUUCUUGAGUGUAAACGAGGUAGGCGGAAUGUGACGUGUAGCGGCGAAAUGCUUAGAUAUGUCACAGAACCCCGAUUGCGAAGGCAGCUUACCAGGAUACAACUGACGCUGAGGCACGAAAGCGUGGGUAUCAAACAGGAUUAGAUACCCUGGUA